GCAGCGCUAGAAUUGUACUGGGGCACUGGAGACUUUUACUAAGGCACGUGCCCCAGUGAAUAAGGUCUAGUGACGCCCCUGCCUCUCUCUCUCUCUCUCUCUCUCUCACUACACGCCAAGAAUAAUCGCAAUGACUUUGGACUCGUCAAAGACAUUCACCAGACUACGUUACUGGACAUGGACAGUUGUUUUCCUCUGUGUAUCUCUACAGUCCAUAAGGUCAGACCAGACAGGCCUUAUUUGUGAUGAAAUUACAUCCAAUGGGACAACCAAGUGCUGUGUGAGCAACGUGCCACAACACCAUCUAAACAGCCCUGACUGCGAACAGAAUUGGUUUAGGGUGAAGGGGAACAAACCCGAAGCUAUCGCGAUGUACCCAGAAAGAUGGAUAGACG